rnacentral:rRNA from 1 species
GAUGAACGCUGGCGGCGUGCUUAACACAUGCAAGUCGAACGGUGAACACGGAGCUUGCUCUGUGGGAUCAGUGGCGAACGGGUGAGUAACACGUGAGCAACCUGCCCCUGACUCUGGGAUAAGCGCUGGAAACGGCGUCUAAUACUGGAUAUGUGACGUGAUCGCAUGGUCUGCGUCUGGAAAGAAUUUCGGUUGGGGAUGGGCUCGCGGCCUAUCAGCUUGUUGGUGAGGUAAUGGCUCACCAUGGCGUCGACGGGUAGCCGGCCUGAGAGGGUGACCGGCCACACUGGGACUGAGACACGGCCCAGACUCCUACGGGAGGCAGCAGUGGGGAAUAUUGCACAAUGGGCGCAAGCCUGAUGCAGCAACGCCGCGUGAGGGAUGACGGCCUUCGGGUUGUAAACCUCUUUUAGCAGGGAAGAAGCGAAAGUGACGGUACCUGCAGAAAAAGCGCCGGCUAACUACGUG